AAUGUAAUAGAUUAUUAAAAAAAUGACAUAAAUCACUAAAAAAAUGCCGAACUGUUGCGCACGUGUCUGCAAUGAAAGACAGGCAAGUGGCACAAGAUUUCACAUGUAACCCCAUGAACCAAUCAGGCAAAAAGUAUGGGAGCUGAACAUUAUUGUGUGAGGUAAAUGUCAUUUUCUCUCUUCGCCUUAUGAUAACAAAUCACAUAGGACAAAUAAAGUAAUACCAUCGUUAAUGUAAACCAUGCUGU